rnacentral:rRNA from 1 species
GCCAGCAGCCAUAUCACCCUGCAACUUACAACUGGCAACCCACUGAAGCUCAGCAGGUGUGAGCCUGGUCAGUACCUGGAUGUGAGACCUCCUGGGAAAACCUAAGGUUGCUGCUGGAA